ACAAAGAAGACAUUUCCCGAAAACAAUGUGCUCAUGAGAAGUUAUUAAAAUAACGGAGAUUGAAUCAUAUAAAGGAGCUACUGGCUAAAACAACGAACAUGUCGAUGAAGGCGAUUUAAUCCUGGAGAAAUCCUCCUUCAAGAAACAGGGGAGGAACUUCAGCGAGAAGAGAGAAGAAUAUAGACGUGAAAGCUUCCGGACAGACCGAGACAGAUUGAGAUGAAUUUAUUGGAGGGAGGCAGCAGACAAGAGCUCAGAAAAGACUCGAGUCAGCCUGAUGAUUGAAUAUUUCGAACAAAUGCCCCCGGUUUGACCCUUUGACCCCUGACUGCAGUCAAGCACACAGUCCAGUCUGGGGAUAGAGACGGACAGGUGACUGAUGGAGGCUUCUUGGUCAAACAUUAUUAUCAUGUGUGUAAGAUGUCUUUUAUUCUUGUGAUUUUAAGAUCAACUUUAAGCCUGCGGUCACACGAUCCUUCAGAAAUCAGAAAAAGUGGACGUUUAAAAUAAAAGUAGGGAAAAAAAGAAAAGCAUUUCUCUAAAAUAAAGGUAUUUUGUAACAUUAUACAUGUCUUUAUCAUCACUCGAUCAAUAUAAAGCGUCCUUGCUAAAUAAAAGUAGUAAUUUCU